AAAUUGAAGAGUUUGAUCAUGGCUCAGAUUGAACGCUGGCGGCAGGCCUAACACAUGCAAGUCGAACGGUAACAGGAAGCAGCUUGCUGCUUUGCUGACGAGUGGCGGACGGGUGAGUAAUGUCUGGGAAACUGCCUGAUGGAGGGGGAUAACUACUGGAAACGGUGGCUAAUACCGCAUAACGUCGCAAGACCAAAGAGGGGGACCUUCGGGCCUCUUGCCAUCAGAUGUGCCCAGAUGGGAUUAGCUUGUUGGUGAGGUAACGGCUCACCAAGGCGGACGAUCCCUAGCUGGUCUGAGAGGAUGACAGCCACACUGGAACUGAGACACGUCCAGACUCCUACGGGAGCAGCAGUGGGGAAUAUUGCACAAUGGGCGCAAGGCCUGAUGCAGCCAUGCCGCGUGUAUGAGAAGGCCUUCGGGUUGUAAAGUACUUUUCAGCGGGGAGAAGGUGUGUGGUUAAUAACCACAGCAAUUGACGUUACCCGCAGAAGAAGCACCGGCUAACUCCGUGCCAGGCAACCGCUGGUUAAUACGGGGAUGGGGGCAAGCGUUAAUCGGAAUUACUGGGCGUUAAAGCGCCACCGCAGGCCGGUCUGUUCAAGUUCGGAUGUGAAAUCCCCGGGCCUCAACCUGGGAACUUGCAUUCGAAAACUGGCAGGCUUGAAGUCUUGUAGGGGGGGAUAGAAUUCCAGGUUGUAGCGGCUGGAAAUGCGUAGAGAUCUGGAGGGCAGGAAUUACCGGUGGCGAGAGGCGGGCCCCGCCUGGACAAGACCUUGACGCUCAGGUGCCGAAAGCGUGGGGAGCAAACAGGAUUAGAUACCCUGGUAGUCCACGCCGUAAACGAUGUCUACUUGGAGGUUGUGCCCUUGAGGCGUGGCUUCCGGAGCUAACGCGUUAAGUAGACCGCCUGGGGAGUACGGCCGCAAGGUUAAAACUCAAAUGAAUUGACGGGGGCCCGCACAAGCGGUGGAGCAUGUGGUUUAAUUCGAUGCAACGCGAAGAACCUUACCUGGUCUUGACAUCCACAGAACUUUCCAGAGAUGGACUGGUGCCUUCGGGAACUGUGAGACAGGUGCUGCAUGGCUGUCGUCAGCUCGUGUUGUGAAAUGUUGGGUUAAGUCCCGCAACGAGCGCAACCCUUAUCCUUUGUUGCCAGCGAUUAGGUCGGGAACUCAAAGGAGACUGCCAGUGAUAAACUGGAGGAAGGUGGGGAUGACGUCAAGUCAUCAUGGCCCUUACGACCAGGGCUACACACGUGCUACAAUGGCGCAUACAAAGAGAAGCGACCUCGCGAGAGCAAGCGGACCUCAUAAAGUGCGUCGUAGUCCGGAUUGGAGUCUGCAACUCGACUCCAUGAAGUCGGAAUCGCUAGUAAUCGUGGAUCAGAAUGCCACGGUGAAUACGUUCCCGGGCCUUGUACACACCGCCCGUCACACCAUGGGAGUGGGUUGCAAAAGAAGUAGGUAGCUUAACCUUCGGGAGGGCGCUUACCACUUUGUGAUUCAUGACUGGGGUGAAGUCGUAACAAGGUAACCGUAGGGGAACCUGCGGUUGGAUCACCUCCUUACCUUAAAGAA
rnacentral:rRNA from 1 species